GAUGAACGCUGGCGGCGUGCUUAACACAUGCAAGUCGAACGGUGAAGGCGGAGCUUGCUCUGCUGGAUCAGUGGCGAACGGGUGAGUAACACGUGAGCAAUCUGCCCCUGACUCUGGGAUAAGCGCUGGAAACGGCGUCUAAUACUGGAUACGAGCUGCGAAGGCAUCUUCAGCAGCUGGAAAGAACUUCGGUCAGGGAUGAGCUCGCGGCCUAUCAGCUUGUUGGUGAGGUAACGGCUCACCAAGGUGUCGACGGGUAGCCGGCCUGAGAGGGUGACCGGCCACACUGGGACUGAGACACGGCCCAGACUCCUACGGGAGGCAGCAGUGGGGAAUAUUGCACAAUGGGCGAAAGCCUGAUGCAGCAACGCCGCGUGAGGGACGACGGCCUUCGGGUUGUAAACCUCUUUUAGCAGGGAAGAAGCGAAAGUGACGGUACCUGCAGAAAAAGCGCCGGCUAACUACGUG
rnacentral:rRNA from 1 species